GUUUUCUUUCUUGCUUUUGGUUUUGCUUACCGCUAAAGCUAUUGGAGGUGAAUUAGGAAAAGUUGUGCGUACAAUCCCCAAGAAUGAAAAGGAAGUCCUGUAUUUGAACAGCCUCGCUGACAACAACGUAUGUACCUGAUGCACGACGUCCUAGAUACUAUAGAAAUGAAAACAAAACAGAAAAAGGUGUCAAACAAACAAAAAAGAAGCGGAAAGUAAGAAGAGAGAACGAAUUGAGAACAUAACGUGAAACGCGAAGAAAUCGGAGAAGACGGAAGAAGAAAAAACUGAAAAACAAGACAGGACGUCGAUUUGGAUUUCUGGACGCACCCCUCCCAUGUGGGUCAACCUGUUGACAUCCGUGUGACCAAUGACAAAUAUGACACGCUGACCCUGUUACUGAAGGCUCAAGAUCUGUCAUUCAAAGAUCAGAUCUCUGAUGUUGAUGAAGCUGUUGCUAUGCAAACUCCUGUCGGCGAGGCUAGGUCGUUUGACUAUAAUAACUAUAACAGGCUGCCU